rnacentral:rRNA from 1 species
CAGUAGCCACGGGAAUACGUAGGGUGCGAGCGUUAAUCGGAAUUACUGGGCGUAAAGGGCUCGCAGGCGGUUUCUUAAGUCUGAUGUGAAAGCCCCCGGCUCAACCGGGGAGGGUCAUUGGAAACUGGGAAACUUGAGUGCAGAAGAGGAGGGUGGAAUUCCACGUGUAGCGGUGUAAUGCGUAGAGAUGUGGAGGAACACCAGUGGCGAAGGCGACUCUCUGGUCUGUAACUGACGCUGAGGAGCGAAAGCGUGGGGAGCAAACAGGAUUAGAGACCCCUGUAGUCCCUGUCUCUUAUAC